GUAUAGGGGAGCCGUAGGGAAACCGAGUCUUAACUGGGCGAAUGAGUUGCAGGGUAUAGACCCGAAACCCGGUGAUCUAUCCAUGGGCAGGUUGAAGGUUGGGUAACACUAACUGGAGGACCGAACCGACUAAUGUUGAAAAAUUAGCGGAUGACUUGUGGAUGGGGGUGAAAGGCCAAUCAAACCGGGAGAUAGCUGGUUCUCCCCGAAAGCUAUUUAGGUAGCGCCUCGUGAACUCAUCUUCGGGGGUAGAGCACUGUUUCGACUAGGGGGUCAUCCCGACUUACCAACUCGAUGCAAACUGCGAAUACCGAAGAAUGUUAUCACGGGAGACACACGGCGGGUGCUAACGUCCGUCGUGAAGAGGGAAACAACCCAGACCGCCAGCUAAGGUCCCAAAGUCAUGGUUAAGUGGGAAACGAAGUGGGAAGGCUCAGACAGCCAGGAUGUUGGCUUAGAAGCAGCCAUCAUUUAAAGAAAGCGUAAUAGCUCACUGGUCGAGUCGGCCCGCGCGGAAGAUGUAACGGGGCUAAACCAUGCACCGAAGCUGCGGCAGCGACACAUAGUGUUGUUGGGUAGGGGAGCGUUCUGUAAGCCUGCGAAGGUGUACUGUGAGGUAUGCUGGAGGUAUCAGAAGUGCGAAUGCUGACAUAAGUAACGAUAAUGCGGGUGAAAAACCCGCACGCCGGAAGACCAAGGGUUCCUGUCCAACGUUAAUCGGGGCAGGGUGAGUCGACCCCUAAGGCGAGGCUGAAAAGCGUAGUCGAUGGGAAACGGGUUAAUAUUCCCGUACUGGUGGUAACUGCGAUGGGGGAACGGAGAAGGCUAGGUUGUCCGGGCGACGGUCGUCCCGGUUCAAGCAGGUAGGCAGAGUGAUUAGGCAAAUCCGGUCACUUAAUGCUGAGAUGUGAUGACGAACCACCAAGGUGGUGAAGCAAUUGAUGCCCCGCUUCCAGGAAAAGCCUCUAAGCUUCAGGUUACCAACAAUCGUACCCCAAACCGACACAGGUGGUCAGGUAGAGAAUACUCAGGCGCUUGAGAGAACUCGGGUGAAGGAACUAGGCAAAAUGGUGCCGUAACUUCGGGAGAAGGCACGCUGGCGGUAGGUAAAGUCCCUCGCGGACGGCGCUGAAGCCAGUCGAAGAUACCAGCUGGCUGCAACUGUUUAUUAAAAACACAGCACUGUGCAAACACGAAAGUGGACGUAUACGGUGUGACGCCUGCCCGGUGCUGGAAGGUUAAUUGAUGGGGUUAGCGCAAGCGAAGCUCCUGAUCGAAGCCCCAGUAAACGGCGGCCGUAACUAUAACGGUCCUAAGGUAGCGAAAUUCCUUGUCGGGUAAGUUCCGACCUGCACGAAUGGCGUAAUGAUGGCCAGGCUGUCUCCACCCGAGACUCAGUGAAAUUGAACUCGCUGUGAAGAUGCAGUGUACCCGCGGCAAGACGGAAAGACCCCGUGAACCUUUACUAUAGCUUGACACUGAACAUUGAGCCUUGAUGUGUAGGAUAGGUGGGAGGCUUUGAAGUGUGGACGCCAGUCUGCAUGGAGCCAACCUUGAAAUACCACCCUUUAACGUUUGAUGUUCUAACCUAGGCCCAUAAACUGGGUCGGGGACCGUGUCUGGUGGGUAGUUUGACUGGGGCGGUCUCCUCCUAAAGAGUAACGGAGGAGCACGAAGGUUGGCUAAGCAUGGUCGGACAUCAUGCGGUUAGUGCAAAGGCAUAAGCCAGCUUGACUGCGAGAGUGACGGCUCGAGCAGGUACGAAAGUAGGUCUUAGUGAUCCGGUGGUUCUGAAUGGAAGGGCCAUCGCUCAACGGAUAAAAGGUACUCCGGGGAUAACAGGCUGAUACCGCCCAAGAGUUCAUAUCGACGGCGGUGUUUGGCACCUCGAUGUCGGCUCAUCACAUCCUGGGGCUGAAGUAGGUCCCAAGGGUAUGGCUGUUCGCCAUUUAAAGUGGUACGCGAGCUGGGUUUAGAACGUCGUGAGACAGUUCGGUCCCUAUCUGCCGUGGGCGUUGGAAGAUUGAGAGGGGUUGCUCCUAGUACGAGAGGACCGGAGUGAACGCACCACUGGUGUUCGGGUUGUCAUGCCAAUGGCAUUGCCCGGUAGCUAAGUGCGGAAGAGAUAACCGCUGAAAGCAUCUAAGCGGGAAACUUGCCUCGAGAUGAGUCUUCCCUGUCGCUUUAAGCGACCUAAAGGAACGUUUAAGACUAAGACGUUGAUAGGCUGGGUGUGUAAGCGUAGCGAUACGUUGAGCUAACCAGUACUAAUGAACCGUGAGGCUUAACCUG
rnacentral:rRNA from 1 species